rnacentral:lncRNA from 1 species
CAUUUUUCUAAUUAUGAAAGAAGAUCAGAGAAAAGUACUGUCAGUCCGCAAGAAAGUAAUAACAACCGAAAGGACAGGUUCGGUUCUGAAAGGAAUUACAACCAAAGGGAAAGGUUCGGUUCAGAGAACACCAGCUACCGAAAGCAUAGGUUCGGUUCCGAGAGCAAAAGCUACCAAGGUUCAAGGUUCGGUCCCACUAAUGACCAAAAACAAAAGGGCCACCUAGAACCUCAAGUCAAGAAAACUUCUCAGUCUAAAUUCUCUCAUUCUAAUUCUUCUCAACCCCAUUCUAAAUCCAAUUAUGUUCUAACUCAAAAUCCAAAAUCUUCAACAGAUUUGAAAGGAAAAUCGAAGGUUUCCUCAGUCAAGAAUGAUCAAAAGCAUUCCAAGGCCCAAACGCCUGAACCUGAAUCCAAACCGACUGUAACAAAUCCCAACAAAAUUAAAGUUUUCAUUAUUAAGAAGAAAGAUGAAACAACUUUAAUAAAAAGAACAUAUCUUGUUGACAUUUCUCUUACUAUUCCUGUUCCUGUGAAAGGCUCACGUGGACCCAAGAAACUUUGGGUUCCUAAAUCUGCUUGAUUUUUGCAGGUUAUCAGUGACGAGCAGUUCGACGAAGAAUGGUAUAUUGACAGUGGCUGCUCACGUCACAUGACAGGAAGGAAGGAAGAGCUGAGGGAAUUCCGAUCUCUUCCAAACGGCAGGAAUGUCAAGUUCGGGAACAACUCAUAUGGCACGAUAAAAGGUUAUGGGAUGAUAACAAAUAGAGACUUCACGAUUAGAAAGGUUGCAUAUGUUGAAGGUCUACAACAUAACCUCAUCAGUGUAUCUCAACUUGUUGGAGGUACCGGUCUUAAAGUUUUGUUUGAUGAUGAGGGUUCGGAAAUAAUAGAGAAGAAAACACAAAGAGUGAUUCUGAAAUCAGAGGGCAAAGGCGAAAUGUUUCCUCUCAAUCUCAAACCUAUCAAAGGAAAUCCAGCUAUCUGUCUGUUAUCCAAUGCACAUUCUGACNAAAAGCUGGUUGUGGCACCGAAGGCUCUCCCAUCUUAACUUCAAGGAUAUCAACAAACUUGUCACAGGAGGCCAUGUUCGGGGUCUUCCAUUGCUCAAGUUUGAUCGAGAACAUUUGUGUGUUGCAUGUGAAAUGGGGAAGCAGAGUCGUCAAAGUCACCCAUCCAUAAUAAACACUAAAGUCGUUGAAUCACUUGAGUUAAUUCACAUUGACUUAUGUGGUCCAUCAUCUAUCGAAAGCAUUGGCGGUAGCAAGUAUAUUCUUGUUAUUGUUGAUGACUUUUCACGUUUUACAUGGGUGUUCUUUCUGAAGCAACUCUCAAGCUAAAGAUGUUUAUCAAGCAGGUUGAAGUGUAGCUGAGGAAAGUCAUUCGCAACAUCAGAAGCGACAAUGGGCUGGAGUUCAAGAAUAAAGAAUUUGAAGACUUUUUAGCAGAAAAAGGAACCAGUCACAACUUCUUAGCCCCCUACACCCCUCAACAAAAUGGGAUUGUCGAAAGACGAAACCGAUCUUUGUGUGAGGCGGCCUGAAACCGAUCUUUGUGGGAUUGUCGAAAGACGAAACCGAUUUUACGCAGAACAGGUCCUAUCUCAAUAAGCGUUUCACUCUUACUCCUUAUGAGAUCAUCAACAACAGAAAGACAAACGUCAAAUUCUUCCACGUAUUCGUCUCACGAUGCUUUAUCUUCAGUUCUAAAGAACAUCGUAACAAGUUCGACAUAAAAGCCGAUGAAGGGAUUUUUCUAGGAUAUUCUCUCACUUCGAAAGCAUACAGGGUUUUAAACAAGCAUUCAAGGAAAAUUGAAGAAACGUAUUAUGUGACUUUCGAUGACAGCUAUGUCAAGAAGCUGAAGGCCACGGAAGAAUCAGUUGGAGAAAUCUUCUCUCAAACAGGCCAAGUCACAGCCUCGAUUGCAAAUUUGUUUGAACAAUUUGUGGAGUUAUUCGAUGAACCGAAGAAGGAUACUCUCUCAUAAGCCAAUGCAGCAGACAACAAAGUUGACCAUCUGAAGCAAAUCGUCGAGGACGCUGCCAAACAUAUGGAUGAAGGAGUAUCAAUUUCAAAUGAACCUCCUCACCACGGUGCUUCAGUUGAAGGGGAGAAUCCAUCUUCUUCAAAACAGUUGGGUUCACAAGUUAAGGGGGAGAACUCUUCUCCAGCUGCACCCGAAAGCUCUACUGCACCCGAAGGUACUGUAGCUCCCGAAAGCUCAAUUUCACCCGAAAGUCCUGUAGCACUGGAAAGUCAAGAUACACCUGAAAGCUCAUCAGUCGAGGGGGAGAAUGCCGAUAUGUUUUAUGACGAUGACAGUCAAUCUGAAUUAGAAGAGAUGGUAAAUGCUGAAUUGGAUCCAUCCUAUGAUCCAAAUUACCCUCCUCUUGUCAAAUGGACCAGAGAUCAUCCUGUUUCACAGGUAGUGGGUAAUGUCUCUGAAAAGGUCCUGACCCGAUCUCAACUGAAGGCAAAGCAAGCAUCUCUGUUCUCAAAAGUAGAGUUCUGUAUGUUUAACUCUUUCGUCUCAAAAGUUGAACCAAAGAUAGUUAACACUGCUCUUGAUCACUCUGAUUGGGUUCAAGCUAUGCAAGACGAACUUAAUGAGUUCGAAAGAAAUAAGGUUUGGCGCCUCAUUCCAACUCCUCAAGAUGCCUCGGUUGUUGGUCUCAAAUGGGUCUUCAGAAAUAAAAUGGACAAGGAAGGCAAUGUGAUAAGAAACAAAGCUCGUCUAGUGGUGAAAGGAUACUGCCAGGAGGAAGGAAUCGAUUAUGAAGAAACUUUUGCUCCUGUAGCUAGGCUGGAAUCUGUUCAAAUAUUUCUUGCCUAUGCUGCACACAAGAACUUUAAGGUCUACCAAAUGGACGUGAAAUGCGCAUUUCUAAAUGGAGAACUUGAAGAAAUGGUGUACGUGGAACAACCUCCGGGAUUCGUGAAUGAAAAAUACCCCAAUCACUGCUAUAUUAUGGACAAAGCGGUAUAUGGACUGAAAGAAGCACCUAGAGCCUAGUAUGAAACGCUAACUAAGUUUUUAAAGAUGUCCAAAUUCAAACAAGGUUCGGUUGACCCAACCUUCUUUCGUAAGAAGGAAGGUAACCACCUUAUGAUUGUUCAAAUCUAUGUCGAUGAUAUCAUCUUUGGCUCAACGAAUCCUAGCUUAACAGCUGAAUUCAGAAAGCUGAUGGAGACUAAAUUUGAAAUGAGCUCAAUGGGUCCGAUUAACUUUUUCCUUGGCUUAAAUAUUAGACAGGGACCCGAAGGCAUCUUUAUUAACCAGGAAGCCUACACCAAGACUCUCCUUGCAAAAUUCGGCAUGAUGGGAGACUCAAAGGUUAAAGUUCCAAUGGGGUUCGGUACCAAGCUCACUCCAUCAUUGGAUAAGCCAACAGUCGAUAUUACGCUAUAUCACCAGAUGAUCGGUUCUCUAAUGUACCUUACUGCUAGUAGGCCUGACAUAAUGUUUUCUGUUUGUUACUAUGCUAGAUUUCAGGCGAAUCCUCGUGAACCUCAUAUGCUUGCUGUGAAGAACAUACUCCGGUAUCUAAAACAAACUACCUCUCUUGGCUUAUGGUAUCCAUCCAACUCAGUUUUUUUCGUUCAAGCCUACUCAGAUGCAGACCUUGGAGGUUGUGGACUAGACAGGAAAAGCACCACUGGAGGCUGCCAAUUCCUUGACGGGAAGUUGGUUAGCUGGCAAUCAAAGAAACAGACUUGUGUAUCUCUGUCUACAGCUGAAGCAGAAUACAUCGCAGCUGCCUCCUGUACAUCUCAAGUGAUUUGGAUCCAAAGCCAGCUCCGGGACUAUGGACUCAAUAUGAAAAAGAUCCCAUUAUAUUGCGACUCUGAAAGUGCAAUUAGGAUCUGUCAUAACCCAGUGCAACACUCCAAGACUAAGCACAUAGCACUGAGGUAUCACUUCAUUAAGGAUCAUGUGGAAGAUGGGAACAUCGAAAUUCAUUUUGUUCGAACCACUGAUCAACUGGCUGACAUCUUCACCAAAGCUCUUCCUGAAGCUUCUUUCAACAAAAUUCUACAAGGGCUUGGAAUGAUGGAAUCGGAGUCAGUACCAAAAAUUACCUCUCAAGAUUAAAAGUAAGAAAGCGAAAUAGACCGAAUGUUCGGGUUCGGGUCUUGCUCUGGUGUACCGAAAUAGACCGAACGUUCGGGUUCGGUUGUAUCAUCUGAUCUUCGCCUAUCACUCAAAGGUAGUUUCUUUGGUUGUAAAUCUUUUGUAUUUUUUUUCCUAAUUCAUUAAUCUUAUUGUCAAAGUUCUUUUCUUUUUCAAUCUUAUUUUUUUUGGCAACUGAAAUAGACCGAACGCUCGGGUUCGGUUACAAAAUUUUUCUCACCCGAAAUAGACCGAACGCUCGGGUUCGGUUCCAAAGUUUUCUCAACCGAAAUAAACCGAACGCUCGGGUUCGGUUCCAACAUUUUUUUUUGUAUAAAUUUUUUUUAUGUCUUAUUUAUUUCAAUCAAAAAUUCCAAAAACGUUUUUUUUUCUUUUCGUAAAUUCAAAAACUCCAAAAAUAUUUUUUUUGUAUUGGCUUUUAUUUUCUAUUUCAUUGUGGGUAACUUAUUUCACUAGCUAAGUGUCCCUAGAAGCAUACUGCUGUAUGUGANAAAGCCUCAUCUGAUUCUGAAUAAUAGCCUUACUGACUUGGUACAAACAAACCUUGUCUUCCCAAUUAGGCUCUCAUAAUUAUUCUAAUCAUGAGCUACCUAACUCUCUUCUCACAUGAGAUAAGAGUUGUCUGCUUGGUCCCUAUUUUUAUAGCAGAGGUACUUUGGUCUCUUUACACCACCUACAUUACUUUUCUCCAUCACAUUCGCUUCACAAACGUAACCCUUGAGACUCUCAGACAUUACCACUGAGGUUUAUGGUUGCACAAUUUAUGUGUUCAUGAUCUUAGCUUCGUGUCACUACGUGCUUAGUGAAACCCAAAAUUCAAUACCUACUAUGCAUUGACAGUGAACAAUCAACUUGCUCUAGCUUUCACUAAUGAAUUGACGAACUUAUCCAUGGGGGUACAACAUGAAAUCUCUAUUUUAUUUUGAGUGAUUCCUAUGAAAUUGUUAAAUCCAAUAACAUUUCUUCCCUUGGGAUCCAGUUUUAAUUUUUUUUGAGAUUUCAUAUAUAUUAGUUUACCUUGCUACUUACAUUAUCUCCAACCUACUUGUUCAACAGACUACAUUGGUCUCACAAGUACUUCGUUCGAUUUCUAUCUUAUAUCAAGAUCAGGAAUUAUGAAUCGAAGCGAAAGCCACCCCAUAAGCCUAAUUAAAGGAAGUCUUUCAACACUUCUUAAUAAGUUUCUGAUCGUUAUUCAACAGGAAACCACACAAACACUUUAAAGUCUCUCUUGACUUUGAAGGAAGAGAUUCGUGCCCGGGAUCCAUUGUUUCGUGUCUUUAUUGACAUCACAUAUUCCCUCAAAAGUGUUGCUUUAUUUAUUUUUCUUUUACACACUCAGCACGAAAAUCUUUUUGAUUUUCCUAAAUUCUGGUUUCAUUAAUUCUAAGUAAUUUUAAUUGGAUUGGUUGUUAUAAAAGGUUGUAGUUAAUAUUGAUCCACGUGGGGAUUUUACUUUACAGAUGCCGUUAAUCUCUAAAGGGCUAAGAUGACGACAUGAUGACUUAGGCGGGAGUCCAAUCGAUUUGAUUUCAAAUGGCGCAACAGGGAAAAGCGUGCGAAUAGGAACCGUUUCAUCUCCAAACGUCGCCUGAUGGGAAGGCGUGUGAUUAGGGACUGACACUCUCUCUCCUGCGUAAUCAUCGGCACACCCAACUGUCACGCGUCAGUCACCUCUGAAAAACCCUUCGUUUUUCAAUCGAAGAUUUGGGAAAGAUUUUUCUCUCUCCUCUACCCUCAAUAUAAAAGGCAAUGUGAUCCACCGUUUACCUCUUUACUACACCUAUAUUCUCAGAGAGCAAGAGAAUUCCUCCAACCUCUACUGUUCAUCAUCUCUCCCACUUUCAUCACAACAAUGGCGGAUUCUUCAUCUGUUCACGCAACUUCUCACAUCUUGCCCAUUCGUCCCUAGCAGAGUUUGAUCAUUGAUCUCACUCCUCAGGCGUACGACGCUUUCAUGUUUCCCAUCAUUGAAUGCCUGAAGUUCUCGCCAAUCGCUCCUGCUCUUACCAGGGCUGAAGUUGUUCCAAUGGAGUUCCUGUCACAAAUCUUUGCCACGGCUCACUACGACAAGGUCGUCGACAAAAUUUUCUUCGAUGUCUUUGAGCACAAGGCAUCGAUUUCCAAACAAAGGUUUUGUACGCUGUUAGGGUUUGGCCCUGAUUCUUCGAGGGUUAUUCCGGAAACCAUUCCAAUGGGUCAUCUGUUCAACAUGUUCUACAACAUGGGGUACACUGAGGUGCUCACUACAGUCGUUCACUGUUCUUUUCAAGGACUUAUUUGAACGAAGUGUUGGAUCUGAUGGGGCAAGUCGUUUAUUUCUCUCCAUCAUGUACGGGAUCUACAAUGGCAUCAAUAUGGACUACUGUUCGGUCCUAUGGCAACAACUCAUUCAGAGUCUCUCUUCCACCUCUCAACACUCAGAGAUUUCUUAUGCCCGGUUCUUGACUAUUGUCACAAAAUGGGUGAUGGACAAGUACCACGUCCCCAUUGUCGCUGAUGCUCUAAUGUCUUCGAUUGGUACUUUCCAUACCACGAAGAUUAUUGUCUCAGAUGCUUCAAAAUUUCCCUUCAACGGGUCUAUCCCGAAAACGAUGUAUGGUGAUGUUCCUGCCAACAGCCGGAUCAUUCAAACGUACAAGGAAUUCAGAUGUUCUGGUCCGAGGGAUCUUACUCCAGAGAUGCUGAAAUUAAUUCAUGACACUAACAAGCCUGCUCCUAGAGGCAAGAAGGCUGAUAAGGGAAAACAGGUGGCAAAGGGAGCAAAAGGCCCAUCUCCCAAGAAAAGGAAAACCACUAAGGCUGCUCAGUCUCCACCACAGAAGAGGAGAAAAACCCAACCGAGACGAAAGCUGAUUAUCGCUUCAUCCUCAAGCGAAUCUGAGGACGACGGUUCUGAUUCAGAUGGAUCUCAACGUGGUUACACUCCACCAUGUUUGCCUACACCAGAGAUUCACAUCUCUACUUCUCCAAUUUCCUCUCCACCCGUUACAAUUCCUUUUUCUAUUACCCCCAUAACCUCCACCACUCAAAUACCACCUACUUCCAUCCCAAUACCACCACCAAUCUUUACCGAAGCAACAACCACCACCACUGCAGAUGUUAGAACCAACGUAUCUGAUACGGGGGUUCAUACUGAUGCACCAAAAUCCAACUCAGCAUCCGAACCCACACCAACAACCGAGCACACCACCCAACCCUAAACUACUACUACUACCGAGCCUCCAGUUUCACCACCACCAUCUUCUCCUGCUCAUGCUUCAGAGGAAGAAGAACCACUCCUUGGCGGGGAGAAUAUGACUUUUGAUUCGGUCUACUAUAGUCCGUUUCAAGUUCAAAGUGACGACGAUGACGAUGCUCCUGUCACAAAGAGGCAUCUCAAGGAGCUACAUGACAAAAUUGAUUCGCUCAUCGCUUCGUCUUCCACAUCUCAGUCCUCCAUAUCUGAAGCUGCAAUUCAGAAAAUUGUUGAGGCUUUUUCCAAAGCUCAUCAAGUUUCCCUUGAUUCCGCCACUGCAGCCAUAGACGCCUCAACCAAAGCUUGUGAGGCAGCGACCGAAAAAGUCGAUAAACUAUUCACUGAUGCUUCUUCCUUGUUGAAAUCUUUACAGGAAAACGCUGAAGCCACCACGACAAAGCUGGAACCCAUUGUCAACCAGCUGGCUAACUCAGUCGCAUCAGAGCUGAAGUCGUUCGCUUCACUUCGUCAAACAAUUUCUGACGACAACUCAGCUUUCAGAACAACCAUUGAGGAGCGUCUCUCCAAGCUUCAAGAAGACUUAGCUGCUGAGAACUCCCUCAUGGAUGCUCUCGCAAGGAAGACUACCGCUCUGAAGGUCAAGAGUAUUCAACUCUCCAACUCUCAACAGGAGAUUGAGUCUCUUCGAUCUGAAAGAGAGGUGGUUAAAUCGUGUGUUUCGGAUGUCCACUCUGCUAUCUCAAACAUCCUUGAAGCACAUGACCCAAUCCUCAAUUAUUUAGUACGACGUACCCUUGCAGAGAAGCUCGCUCCUGCCCUCUCUCUACUUAGCAAAAUCGAAGGGCUCCUUGAUUUCGUGUCCAUUCCGAAACAAGGGGGAGAAAAAGAACAAGUGUCUCAACCACCUCCUACUUCAGCAACUCACACAACCGAACCUCCUCCAGUAGGCCAAGCCUCAGGUUCCGGUGUGAAAGACAAAGGCAAGAAUAUUGCUGAGGAGAGUGACGAUGAUGAUAAGGAGACAAUUGAUGAUAUUCUGAAGCGGAAAAGUCGAAAUAACGAGGCUGACAUUAAUGCUCGUGUGGCUAGAGAGACUGAAGAAGCCGAAAGAAGACAGAAAGAAGCCCACGACCUUCACGAGAGCAGGAAAACUCUUUUUCCUCCUUGGACUCUUGAGAAGCUGAUUAAAGAAGCCAUUGACACACCAAGUAUCUUGUGGCUAGAACAUGUGAUCUCUUUAGAUCGUUCUAACACUAUCGACUCGCAGUUCGAUAUGCCACUAACCCGAAAAGCGUUUGUUUUUCAUGCCUUUGACAACAUUACUGAGUUCCCCCAUCCUCAUUCACAGGUUGAUCGGGACUUAGUCGAAUUUUAUCUGAGGGCAGCUCAACCCCAAUACCAGACUUGGAGCGCUCAGAAAAUCGUCAAUGUUCGGGUCCUGAAGCCGUACAGGGAAGGCAACUUCACCAACGUUCGGUUUAAGGUACUAAGGGGAUCUGCCAAAGUCGAACAUGCCAUCUCACUUGCAGAUCUUCCCAACCUUAAUCCCCAUGAUUGGAUUAUCUUGCACAACAUCCUUCUUACAAACGAAGCUGAAUAUGGUCCGAUCAUCGACCACUUUAAGAGGAUGCUUGUAUGUUAUAUCAUGGAAGUUGCUUUGAUGGAUCAAGAGAUUGCGAGCGUAUUCAAGAAGAAGCCCACCAUAUCUCCUGUUGGGUCUGCCUGUGAUCUCAACAUGAUGCAGAUGGGGAAGAUUAACCCGAAGAGAAACUCUGUCAUGUUUACCAGGAACGAAGGACAAAAAUGUCUUUUCGCCUUGGCAGACAAACAUCUCUACACCACUGCAUGUUUGGAACACGUUUUGGGGAUCAUCCAUCGAUGCAAGCAGAACACAGCGGAUGAUGUAAAGUACUUUGAUGAUAUGAUUCAAUGGUAUAUUCGGUUCAGACAGACAAUCCUUGCACUUAUCACACGUCUGUUUGAUACAAUAAAGAAGGCUCCCGCUGCUGGCCCAAGCAAGAAAAAGAAGUAGUCUCGCUCCAAUUUGACGCAAAGGUGUAGAUUGUUGGGUCCUAUUUUGUGUUGCGUCUAUUGGGCUCGUUAGCUAGUCCAAUAUGUAUCUCCGGUAUGGGCCUGUCCAUCCGUGAGUUUUGUAGGGUUUAGUAUAAAUAGAUGCUUGCAUGCAUCCUAGAACAAAAGGACGAUCAGUAACGAUUAGAGAUUUAUUGUUAAGCAAAUUUAUCAUUCUUGUUUGGUAACCGUAGUAUCCUCUACAGUGGAAGUUCAUAGUCGAGCUCUGCUGAGGAUCGAGUAAUCUAAUCAUUCGAGACAUCUUGAUUCAUACUUGUGUUUUGUUUACUGUUUUUACGUUCAUCGCAUACCUGUUACAAAGAUCUAAUCGAUCAAAGAGUUAAUUAUUAUCUCAUCACAAAACAAAUAAAGAAUCCUUACUAGUGGCCAUUAUAGUUGUAGUAGAUGACCCUUCUUGAAGGCUAGGGUACUCGAGCUUGAAAGAUCUGACGUUUGCAGGUAAAAGGAACAUACCUCAUCAUAGGUCAGGAUCCUCUUAUCAAUGAAGUCAUUCUCAGAAGGGGAGGUAAUACUUGCCUAAGAACGGUUUACCUUGUUCCCCAUGAUUGGAAAAAGAGGAAAACAAAAGGAAAAGAAGAGAAAGAAAUUAUAUGUCAAGGUGACCAGAGACGAUUGAGUGAAAUACUGGGGAAGGUAAGAAAAGUCAAGUUGGUUCCCUAUUUAACGUAAGUGACAGAGAGAGAGAGAGAGAGAUAGAGAGAGAGAGUAUGAUUUGACUUAGUAGUGAUUCUUAUGGAGCAGAUGAAUCCUAUCCGAUUAGGGUUUGAAAUUCAAAAUUCCUCAUCUCAAUUAUUUUUCUAGAAAUUAUGCCUUAAAAUAUUUUGAAAUUAACCUUAAUAUUUCUUAGGUAUAAUUUGGUGGAAAUAUUUAGGGAUAGGAUCCCAUAAUCAUAUUUAGGACCCUCAAUAUCCAUGAAAUCUAAGGAUCCUUAAACAUAUCUCAGGAUCCUAACUAUUAUAUCUAAUAUUUCGUAACACUUAUAACGCCAAUAUUCUUCUUUCUUAUUCUCACAUGUGUAGAAUUAGUCAACAAAAGACUCAUUCUCAAUGGAGAAUCACUUCAGCCAAUCUUAAGACAUGUGAAUACCAAGUCAAACAACGUGCAAAUUCUUGUUCAAGGAGGACCCCGAAAAUAUUGGAUUUCUUGUUACUCAGCUUAGAUAAUAAAUAACAUCAGUAAAUUACACACCAUGCAUACAGCUAGUUCUACCAUUACACUUGAACUCGUUCUAUCUUCAUCAUCUUUGUAAUCUUAGAUUAAAAUCAAUAAAAAACAACAAGACAGGUGAUCGUUAUCACCUCGCAAGGUUUUAUGCCGAAGAUCAUAUAAAGUAUCAAGGGCUUUCCUUGUAACUCACUUGUCUCACUUUGAUCAUUACUCUACGGUUGCAUUAUUCUAACACCACAUCCUUUCAUACAAUCUGGUUGAAUUAAAUUUGAUCAAUUUUCGACCAAAACAACUAUCAUCAAGUGAGGUUUCGAGAUGAGGAUGUUUAGAAGUGGGCCUUCACGACUCGAUAUGGUCAUUACGCGUUUGUGGUGAUGCCUUUUGGGCUCACCAUCGCACCAGCAGUGUUCAUGGAUCUCAUGAACCUAGUUUGCAGACUAAUGUUGGAUCAGUCGGUCAUUGUGUUUAUUAAUUAUAUUUUGGUCUAUUUUAAGACGAAGGAGUAGCAUGAGGAUCAUCUACGAGACAUUCUAGAGAUUCUGAGGAGGGAGAGGCUAUAUCCCAAAUUUCCAAGUGUGAGAUCCGGCCAAGAUUGAGGUUGUGAUGCAGUUGGAAAUUUUGAGAUCUCUAUCUGAUAUUCGGAGUUUCCUUGGUUUGGUCAGGUAUUAUCAGAGGUUUAUCGAAAAUUUCUCUAGGAUCUUAGUUAUUUUAACCAGGUUGACGAAUAAGUCUGCUACUUUCCUUUGAGGACAUGAUCAGCAUGAAACAUUUGAGACUUUGAGGCAGAAGUUAUGUGAGGCUCAUAUCUUGACCUGGCCAGAGGGUGUGGAUGAUGUCAUGGUGUAUUGUGAUGCGUCGAUUUCAAGAUUGGAUGCAGUUUUGGUGCAGAGGGAUUGUGUGAUAGCUUAGGCUUCGAGGCAGUUGAAGCUUCAUGAUGUGAAUUAUCACACUUGUGAUUUGUAUAUGGGGGCGAUUUUACUCACCCUCAAGAUUUGGGGUCAUUACUUUUAUGGGAUUCAUUGUAUCCUUUACACGAACCACAAAAGUUUAAGGUAUUUGAUGGAUCAGCAAUAUCAUGUUUUAAUCGUUAAUUAGCCCAAAAUAUAGUGAUUUUUAUGUUUAAAAACCAGAAUUAUAAACAAAAAUCUCAAAUGUGUAAGCCAUUGUUGAUUUUUUUUCAUUUUGUGUAAAAAAUUACCAGUAUUUUGUCCGUUUGUUCAAAAAUAGUAAAGAAGUGACUUCGUAAGCAUGUUGAAAAGCUAGUUUAGCUAGUUUCUUAUAAUUAAUAAAUAUAAACCAUGUUUUCUAGAAAUAUCAGCUAAAGACAAUUUGGGACCAAAGAUAGGGUUUUUAAAGAAAAAUCCUAUAUUACGAUGUGGCACACGGAUUCCCAUGGCAUGGCAUGAUUUUAAUGAAACGUUGUUUAUUAUGAUUCCCACGAUGUGGUGAGAAGAGAGCCACGCCAUGCCAAUCACUGCAGCCUAAACCCGGUAUUUUUAGGGUUUCCCUCAUACAUAAACACAACAACUCAUGGAUUAGGUAAUCUCCUUCAGCCUGCAUCUCUCCAUUUCGAAUCCCGACCCUCUCUUCCAUGGUUAUGAGCUUGGUAGCAUGAUUCUGAAGUAGUUACUCUUGUCUUGGUGAAUCUUGUGGAGAAAUGAUUUUGAAGUAGUUCCUACUUCGACAUAUCAUCAGGUUGUAGCUAUCAACCACAGGUGUGGGUGUCAAUCCUGUAUAGACCAAUACAUAUCUUUCCCAGCUUGUCAACUAGGUAGGAUCUUACCAUAGUGGUUUAGAAUAACAACUAGGCAUAAUAUUAGAUAAAGUGUUUAGGCAAACUAGAUAUCGGGCAUAAUAUCAUCCUAAAGUUAUGAGCAGAAUUAUCCAGCUACAUUUGGUAAUAACUAUGUAAAGUUGCAUUUUAGACAUGUAUCCCCCCCCCCCUCGAAAAGGUUCGGAAAAUAAGGUCGUGAACUCACCUCUGAGUUAUGAAAAUGUUGCGGUAGGGUACAAAUCACAACUUUGCACUUCGAGAGAUGCUCGGUGGUGGCAUGUGGAACGAUAUCGAGAGAAAACAUUAGAGAGGGGUGAGGACAUGAACUGCCAAAACCUACUAUUGAUAGCAAGUUUUGGAGUGUCCGUCGUGCAAGUGUGUGUGAACCGUAUGAUGCUACCAUGUGUCCUCAUCUCAGUGUGUCAUGUCAUCCUUAUUUCGACGUAUCGGGUGUUUGUGUAUGCGGCGCACUACACGCCAGCACGUGCGACGACAAAAAUUAAGCUUUGAAAUUCCAGAACUCUCACAUAUGAACUUUGUUCUAAAUGAAUAUUAUAUAUCCGUGUAGGUCUCAUCAUUCUCUACAACUUUCCUUUUGGUCGUUUUGUUUAGUGUUGACUUUAGUUUUUCGACGUGUUUCUAAUACCGUUAUAAUUUUAUAAAAAUCAUAACUCCUCCAUACGAAUUUCGUUUUAGGCAUGCCUUGCCUCUUAAUUCCUACUUUUUUAAUACUAUGAUUUCCUAGUCGGUGACUUUUUCCAAAAGUUGACCAAUCUCCUUGUAAUUUUCGUCGUUGAUCCUUUUUAAGUACAGUAGAUAUUUAUUUACCAUAAAUAUCAUAUCUCACCCAUACUUUGUCGGAUUCGUAUAAAAUUUAUAUUUCAAGAAUCAUGGUAACCUAUAGAGUCUAAAUAUGUUAACCUGCUCCCAAAGUGACAUGACUUUUUACACACUUAUUUUUAGCCUAAUGGUGACGUAAUCUCUGGUUUGUCACGUCCUCCUCCCAUUGAAAGAAAUUUUUCUUUGCGAUUUAACAUGUAGCCAGGGUGUUUUCAAAUAAAUGGGGAUACUCGUUCCUCAUUUGAUCUUCAUGUUCCCAUAUGUAUUCUAGUCCUUGAUUAUAGUUCCAUCAAACCUUGCCUAUGGGAAUACGGCUUUGCAUAAGUCUCUUGGCUUCGUGAUCCAUGAUCUCAAUUGGUUCAUAGAUAAAGUUGAGUUUCAUGUCAAUCUGGAUUUUGUCGAGAAGCACAAUUGGCAUGUCUUCAAAGAAACAUUUCUUAAGGUUUGAAACUUGGAAGACAUUGUGUAUGCUGUUGAGCUCUUAGGAAGAGCAAGACGGUAGGCUAUUGGGCCUAUUUUAGCAAGGAUAUUAAAAGGUCCUAUUUACCUUGGAUUGAGUUUACCCCUCAUGCCAAAUCUUAUAACUCUUUUCUAAGGAGAUACUCUUAGCAUGACUUUAUCUGCAACUUUGAAUUCAAGUGGUUUUUGUCGAAAGUUGGCGUAUUUCGUUUAACGAUCACGAUACCUUCUCAAUCGUUCCUUAAUUCUCAUGAUCUUCCUUGUUGUUUCGUGAAUGAUCUCAGGUCCGGUUGGCAAAGUGUUCCCAACAUGUUUCUUUGCUAGUUGGGUAUCACUAACUUCUACCCGACACUACGGUCAACAAAACUUUCUACUACAAAGUGCUUCAAAUGGUGCAACAUUUAUACUUGUGUCAUAACUAUUGUUGUAUGAGAACUCAACCAAUGGUAGGUGAGUCUCUCAUGCAUCUCGAAAGUCUAUCCCACAUGCUUUGAGCAUAUCUUCCAUGGUUUGUAUGGUCAUCUCCCUUUGACCAUCUAUCUGCAGGUUGUAAGAGGUACUCAUAUCGAGUCGGUUUCCUAGUUCCCAUUAAAUUGUUGUCAAAACCGAUAUUUAAAUCGGUGGUCUCUCUUCGAGAUGACCGAUGUUGGUACACCGUGUAGUCGGACUAUCUCCUUGACAUAAUUCCUAGAUAAAUUCUACAUUUUUUCCAUUUCUUUAAUGGGUAGGAAAUGGGUUGACUGUCAAACGAUCGAUUACUACACAAAUCGUGUUGUAAUCUCUAGGUGUUUUGGGUAGUUUUGUGAUGAAGUCCACGGCAACUUGCUCCCAUAUAUGUUCGGGUAUUUUGGUUUAUUGCAGCAAACUCGACAAUUUUUGGUAUUCUGCCUUGACCUUCGCCCAGGUCAAGCAUCUUCUCAUGAAGACAACGAUUUAUGCCUUCAUGUUCGGCCACCAAUACCUUUUUUAAUUCAAGAUACAUCUUAUCAUAUCCUGAGUGAACCGAGUAUCUUAUCUUUUGAGCUUCGUCCAGUACCAGACUUCUGAUGUUGCCAAAUUUUAGUACCUAAAUUCGGUCCAUGAAACACAAGGUUCCAUUUUCUUUGGACUCAAAUUGCUUUUCCAUACCUCAUAACCAUUCUUCAGCCUUGUUUUCUUCCUUAAGUGCCUCUACUUGGGCUUCUCAAAUUUGGAUAGGAAGGUUUUACUGGAUAGUUAAAGUGAGCGCUUUCACUCUGCGAGGUUUGACUUGUUCCUUUCUACUUAGGUCAUCUGCUACUACGUUUUCUUUUCAUAGGUGGUAUUGAAUCUCACACUCAUAGUCAUUUAACAGCUCAAUCCAUGUUCGUUGUCUCAUGUUAAGUUCCUUUUGUUUGAAGAUGUGUUGAAGACUUUUAUGUUCUAUGUAUAUGACAUACUUUGUGCCAUACAAGUAGUGUCGCAAGAUCUUCAAGGCGAAACUUACAACUCCUAAUUCCAAUUCAUGGUUGGUGUAAUUAUUCUCAUGACUUUUUGAGUUGGUUCAAAUCAUAAGCGAUCACUUUGUCUCUUUGCAUAAGUACGCAUCCCAUGCCCUGAUGUGAUGUGUUACAAUAGACAAUGAAGUCUUUAGUUCCUUCUGAAAGUGAAAGAAUCGGUGCACUACACAACAUGUGUUUCAAUCUCUGAAACUCAUAUUCUUUCCACUCGAACUUCAAAUAUUUAUGUGUGAGUAUCAAGAGGGGUAUUGCUAUCUUCUAGAAUUUUUCUAUAAAUCUAAUGUAAUUGUCGGAGAAUCCUAGAAAUUUAUGCACCUCCGUUGGCGUCAUGAGUGCUUCCCAAUUCUUUAUGGAUUUGUUCUUGGAAGGAUCUACGUGAAUACCCUUGUCACUAACCAAGUAUCCUAGAAAGUGUACUUCCCUGAGCAAAAAUUCACACUUUAAGAAUUUUUCGUACAAUUUCUCUUUUCUCAAGAACUGCAAAAUGAUUCGAAGAUGUUGGUCAUGUUCCUCCUCUAUUCGUGAGUAUAUCAAUAUAUCAUCAUUGAAUACGAUCAUGAAUUUGUAAAGGUAUGGCUUACAAACACAGUUUCUUAGAUCCAUGAAGACUGAUUAAGCAUUAGUUAAGCCAAAAGGCAUAACUAGGAACUCGUAGUGGCCUUAUCGAGUUCUAAAUGCCAUCUUCGGAAUGUCUUCCUCUUGAACUCGAAGUUGAUGGUACCCUAACCUUAAAUCAAUCUUUGAGUAAAAUAUGGAUCCUUAGAGUUGAUCGAACAAAUCGUUAAUCCUUGGGAGUGGAUAUUUGUUCUUGAUCGUCAACUUAUUUAGUUCUUGGUAAUCGAUGCACAUUCUGAAGGCUCCAUCCUUCUUAUUGUCGAAUAGCACCAAGGUGCCCUAGGGUGAGAAACUUGGUCUUAUAAAGCCUUUAUCUAGAAGCUCCUGAAGUUGACCAGACAACUCUUGUAUUUCCGAAGGGGCUAAUUAGUAGGGAGAUUUUGCCACUGUAGAUGCCCUUAGGACUAGGUCACUUCGAAAUUCAACCUCAUGAAUUGGUAGUAGUAUGGGCAAGUCCUCCGGAAAUACAUCGGUAAAAUCAUAUAUUUACGGUAUGUCCUCGAUUUCCUUCUUCUUGCCCUUCUUGUCUACGGUGUGCGCCAAGAAAGUGUGAUACUUCUUGUAAAGGUAUUAAUGUUCCUUCAUGAAAGAGUUGAUUUUAAGGCUAUUGUUGGUCUUAUCUCCAGAGAUUACCUACGAUUCCAUGUUGGGUAAGAGUAGUUAUACUUCCUUAUCGUAGUAUAAUAUCUCAGCUCAAUGCGGAGAUAACCAGUCCAUACCAAUGAUGACAUCGAAGCUACUGAUGGUCAUGGGCAUGUGGUUGACGUGAAAAGUAAGGUUAUUUAGAGUGAGGAGGCAGUUUUCUAUUAUUUCCUAAGAACUACCGAAUUCUCCAUUGGCCAUUUCUAUUAUAUAAGGCUCAUCUAAGUUCCUAAACUUAUGAAUUAAAAGUUUUCUAAACUUAGGUGUAAUAAAAAUUCUUUCAGCACCAGAAUCAAAGAGUAUAUAUGUAUAUAAACCGUGAACAGGAAAAGUACCUGUCACAACGGUGAGGUACUAUAUGGCAUCCUUUGCACCAAUCACAAACGUGCUUCCUGUUACGUUUCUUCCCUCAUUCCUCAACUUUUGGUCAGUUCCUUAUGAGGUACCCAUCAAUCCCAUACUUAAAGUAGGACCGAUUAUCUAGCAAUGCAACCAUGACUGGGUUGGUUGCGGUGGUAGAAAUAGUCACGGGUUGUCGGCAAUAUUUCUCAGUAUGCCCUCUGCGAUUGCACCUGGUAUAGUGCAUGUAGUUACCGAAGUGGUGGAAGUGACAUGAGUUUCACUCUGGAUGAUUUCCCACGUAUUGUCCUUGGGAUGCGGGAGCUAAAGCUGGUGCAAGGCAGCAUUGAUGGCAUAUGAUUUGACAGUUUUCUGUCUUUUUUUGGGAGCUUGCUUUUAGGCACCCUUAAAUCCGCUUUCGGAUUUGCACUUUUUUCCCUUGACCUCGGGAUGUCGGUUUUAUGGACCAAUGUGUCUCAUCUUAUUUCCUGUUUGGUCAGGCUAUAAGCCAAUCUUUUCGCACUAUCAUAUGUCGAUGGUCAUGUAGCCAUGGCCAACCCUUGAAUGGGUUGACCCAAUCCCUAAAUGUACCUUUCAAAUUUCUUGUACUCAUGGGUCACAAAGUUUGGGAAAAGGUUAGUGAAGUCUUUGAUCCGGUUGGUGUAAGUCGAGAUGUCGAUGUCACUCAUGGUCAAGUUCCACAGCUCUUGCUCCAGUUGUUGCAUCUCCUCUCGGGAACAAUAUUCCACAAUGAGCAUCUAUU